AUCCAACUGACGAGUCCCAAAUAGGAUGAAAUGCACAGUCUGGAU
rnacentral:hammerhead_ribozyme from 1 species